GUAUUAAUAUCAAUUUAAAGCAAAGGUCAAAAUCUAGAACGUCCUAUUAACCUAUGACCUUGACCUCAAUUUUAAGGUCACAUACCAAGAAUCUUAAAUCAAAAGACCCUAGGUCUUUAAUAUGUUUGGUUAAAGAGUAAUAUCACUUUACGGGUAAACCUAAAUAUAAGAUGGGCAAAAACUCCCAUUUAUUGUCUGCGCACCCUUUCACCCAAAAUAUACAAUUAAGGACAUGUCGCGACUAACAAUUUAUGAAAAAUUAUUUGUCGAUAUGUCAUACGGUAUUUGAAAAUCAGUGAAAAUAAGCAAAAAUCAAA
rnacentral:lncRNA from 1 species